UAAAAAAAGGUAAGCUACUAAGAGCGAAUGGUGGAUGCCUUGACUGGUAAAGGCGAUGAAGGACGUACUAGACUGCGAUAAGCUACGGGGAGCUGUCAAGAAGCUUUGAUCCGUAGAUUUCCGAAUGGGGCAACCCAAUGUAUAGAGAUAUACAUUACCUAUAUAGGAGCGAACGAGGGGAAUUGAAACAUCUUAGUACCCUCAGGAAAAGAAAUCAAUAGAGAUUGCGUCAGUAGCGGCGAGCGAAAGCGCAAGAGGGCAAACCCAGUGCUUGCACUGGGGGUUGUAGGACUGCAAUGUGCAAGAGCUGAGUUUAGCAGAACAUUCUGGAAAGUAUAGCCAUAGAGGGUGAUAGUCCCGUAUGCGAAAAACAAAGCUUAGCUAGCAGUAUCCUGAGUAGGGCGGGACACGAGGAAUCCUGUCUGAAUCCGGGUCGACCACGAUCCAACCCUAAAUACUAAUACCAGAUCGAUAGUGCACAAGUACCGUGAGGGAAAGGUGAAAAGAACUGAGGUGAUCAGAGUGAAAUAGAACCUGAAACCAUUUGCUUACAAUCAUUCAGAGCACUAUGUAGCAAUACAGUGUGAUGGACUGCCUUUUGCAUAAUGAGCCUGCGAGUUGUGGUGUCUGGCAAGGUUAAGCAAACGCGAAGCCGUAGCGAAAGCGAGUCUGAAUAGGGCGCUUAGUCAGAUGCUGCAGACCCGAAACGAAGUGAUCUAUCCAUGAGCAAGUUGAAGCUAGUGUAAGAACUAGUGGAGGACUGAACCCAUAGGCGUUGAAAAGCCCCGGGAUGACUUGUGGAUAGGGGUGAAAGGCCAAUCAAACUUCGUGAUAGCUGGUUCUCUCCGAAAUAUAUUUAGGUAUAGCGUUGUGUCGUAAUAUAAGGGGGUAGAGCACUGAAUGGGCUAGGGCAUACACCAAUGUACCAAACCCUAUCAAACUCCGAAUACCUUAUAUGUAAUCACAGCAGUCAGGCGGCGAGUGAUAAAAUCCGUCGUCAAGAGGGAAACAACCCAGACUACCAGCUAAGGUCCCUAAAUCUUACUUAAGUGGAAAACGAUGUGAAGUUACUUAAACAACCAGGAGGUUGGCUUAGAAGCAGCCAUCCUUUAAAGAAAGCGUAAUAGCUCACUGGUCUAGUGAUUUUGCGCGGAAAAUAUAACGGGGCUAAAGUAAGUACCGAAGCUGUAGACUUGCGCACAACUUAGAUUAUUUAAGUUUAGAAUAUGAGAAACUAAGUUAUGUUUAGUUAUAUUUUUACUGAUUUUUAUAGAGUAAAGAUAGAAAUAAAACUUAGUAAAAUCAGUAAAAAUAUUCUUAGACUAAAGUUAAGUAGUUUAAGUUGUGUGCAAGUGGUAGGAGAGCGUUCUAUUUGCGUCGAAGGUAUACCGGUAAGGAGUGCUGGAGCGAAUAGAAGUGAGCAUGCAGGCAUGAGUAGCGAUAAUUAAUGUGAGAAUCAUUAACGCCGUAAACCCAAGGUUUCCUACGCGAUGCUCGUCAUCGUAGGGUUAGUCGGGUCCUAAGUCGAGUCCGAAAGGGGUAGACGAUGGCAAAUUGGUUAAUAUUCCAAUACCAACAUUAGUGUGCGAUGGAAGGACGCUUAGGGCUAAGGGGGCUAGCGGAUGGAAGUGCUAGUCUAAGGUCGUAGGAGGUUAUACAGGCAAAUCCGUAUAACAAUACUUCGAGAACUGAAAGGCUUUUUGAAGUCUUCGGAUGGAUAGAAGAACCCCUGAUGCCGUCGAGCCAAGAAAAGUUUCUAAGUUUAGCUAAUGUUGCCCGUACCGUAAACCGACACAGGUGGGUGGGAUGAGUAUUCUAAGGCGCGUGGAAGAACUCUCUUUAAGGAACUCUGCAAAAUAGCACCGUAUCUUCGGUAUAAGGUGUGGUUAGCUUCGUACUAGGAUUUACUCCGAAAGCGAAGAAACUUACAACAAAGAGUCCCUCCCGACUGUUUACCAAAAACACAGCACUCUGCUAACUCGUAAGAGGAUGUAUAGGGUGUGACGCCUGCCCGGUGCUCGAAGGUUAAUUGAUGGGGUUAGCAUUAGCGAAGCUCUUGAUCGAAGCCCGAGUAAACGGCGGCCGUAACUAUAACGGUCCUAAGGUAGCG
rnacentral:rRNA from 1 species